rnacentral:rRNA from 1 species
AGAACGAACGCUGGCGGCAUGCCUAAUACAUGCAAGUCGAACGAACACUUCGGUGUUAGUGGCGCACGGGUGCGUAACGCGUGGGAAUCUGCCCUUGGGUUCGGAAUAACAGUUGGAAACGACUGCUAAUACCGGAUGAUAUCGAAAGAUCAAAGAUUUAUCGCCCAGGGAUGAGCCCGCGCAGGAUUAGCUAGUUGGUGAGGUAAAGGCUCACCAAGGCGACGAUCCUUAGCUGGUCUGAGAGGAUGAUCAGCCACACUGGGACUGAGACACGGCCCAGACUCCUACGGGAGGCAGCAGUAGGGAAUAUUGGACAAUGGGCGCAAGCCUGAUCCAGCAAUGCCGCGUGAGUGACGAAGGCCUUAGGGUGUAAAGCUACUUUUACCCGAGAUGAUAAUGACAGUAUCGGGAGAAUAAGCCCCGGCUAACUCCGUGCCCAGCAGCCGC